GGGAAACUCGGCUCACUGUGCCCGGCACAGUAUUCGGCACAACUCGGCACAUCUGGGCACCCUUCUAAUCGACAGUGAAUUGGAUUUGACAGCUGAAUCUUUGUUUUUGCUUACUACAGAAAAUGGUCGUGCGGUUCAACCAGAUUGUUGCUAUCACGAAUUUGUUUAGCAAAAAAAUCACAUCCACGAUGAGAUCCGAAACAUUAUCGUCCAUCCAAUCAUCUUGCCGGAUUUGUUUGUGACCCACUUCUGAAAAGGAACAGGUUUCAAAAUCUCUGCCAAGGAAUGCUGAGUGUAGACCUGGAAAAUAUAAUGAAAUGGUACUUGCAUGGAAUCCAGUACUGGGCCGAUACAAGACUCCCCCUUGGAUGAGAUGCCGGCCGAGGUAAGACAGCUGAAUAAGAAGAGGAAGAAGCUGUGGAGGAGUCUAAUGAUGGAGAACGUGCUUAAAUGGAUAUAAUUAAUUUAAAGUCGUGGGUAUAUGUAUAGCCAUAGCGGUUCAAAUAUAUUUUUCAAGUUUCAAAAGACAGGGUGUAUCACAUACCAUUCUGAUACAACUAGUCUUUGGCAUACAUAUCGAUAAUACGAGUCUGCAUUAACCUGCUUCAGGUCCCGCGCCGUGUACUGAAGCUUCCACUGAGAAGCAUCAACAACGGCUUUUCAUGGGCCCGUCACAUCAUCGAAAUGAUUAAAUCAGUAAUAACAAAAACCAGUAAUUAAUUUUAUUCCCUCUA